rnacentral:rRNA from 1 species
GGGUCGUUCAAGACCAGGACGUUGAUAGGUCAGGUGUGGAAGCGCAGUAAUGCGUUAAGCUAACUGAUACUAAUUGCCCGUAAGGCUUGAUCCUAUAACAGGUGUGUUUC